rnacentral:rRNA from 1 species
UACGUAGGUGGCGAGCGUUAUCCGGAUUUAUUGGGUUUAAAGGGUGCGUAGGCGGCGAUCUAAGUCGGUGGUGAAAGGUAGCAGCUUAACUGUUUUACAUGCUGCCGAUACUGGAUUGCUUGAGUUAUCGAGAGGCAAGUAGAAUUUCCGGUGUAGCGGUGAAAUGCAUAGAUACCGGAAGGAAUACCGAUUGCGAAGGCCACUUGCUAUAGAUAAACUGACGCUGAGGCACGAAAGCGUGGGGAGCGAACAGG